rnacentral:rRNA from 1 species
UUCCGGUUGAUCCUGCCGGACCUGACUGCUAUCGGAUUGAUACUAAGCCAUGCGAGUCAUUGUAGCAAUACAAGGCAGACGGCUCAGUAACGCGUAGUCAACCUACCCUAUGGACGGGAAUAACCUCGGGAAACUGAGUAUAAUGCCCGAUAGAACACUAUACCUGGAAUGGUUUGUGUUUCAAAUGAUUUAUUGCCAUAGGAUGGGACUGCGGCCUAUCAGUUUGUUGGUGAGGUAAUGGCCCACCAAGACUAUUACAGGUACGGGCUCUGAGAGGAGUGGCCCGGAGAUGGGUACUGAGACACGGACCCAGGCCCUAUGGGGCGCAGCAGGCGAGAAAACUUUGCAAUGUGCGAAAGCACGACAAGGUUAAUCCGAGUGGUUUCUGCUAAAGGAACCUUUUGACAGUCCUAGAAACACUGUUGAAUAAGGGGUGGGCAAGUUCUGGUGUCAGCCGCCGCGGUAAAACCAGCACCUCAAGUGGUCAGGAUGAUUAUUGGGCCUAAAGCAUCCGUAGCCGGCUCAGUAAGUUUUCGGUUAAAUCUGUACGCUCAACGUACAGGCUGCCGGGAAUACUGCAGAGCUAGGGAGUGGGAGAGGUAGACGGUACUCGGGAGGAAGUGGUAAAAUGCUUUGAUCUUUCGAUGACCACCUGUGGCGAAGGCGGUCUACCAGAACACGUCCGACGGUGAGGGAUGAAAGCUGGGGGAGCAAACCGGAUUAGAUACCCGGGUAGUCCCAGCUGUAAACUAUGCAAACUCAGUGAUGCAUUGGCUUGUGGCCAAUGCAGUGUUGCAGGGAAGCCGUUAAGUUUGCCGCCUGGGAAGUACGUACGCAAGUAUGAAACUUAAAGGAAUUGGCGGGGGAGCACCACAAGGGGUGAAGCCUGCGGUUCAAUUGGACUCAACGCCGGG